rnacentral:rRNA from 1 species
CUCACAUGAAUUGACGGGGGCCCGCACAAGCGGUGGAGCAUGUGGUUUAAUUCGAUGCAACGCGAAGAACCUUACCUGGCCUUGACAUCCACGGAAUUCGGCAGAGAUGCCUUAGUGCCUCCGGGAACCGUGAGACAGGUGCUGCAUGGCUGUCGUCAGCUCGUGUUGUGAAAUGUUGGGUUAAGUCCCGCAACGAGCGCAACCCUUAUCCUUUGUUGCCAGCGCGUGAUGGCGGGAACUCAAAGGAGACUGCCGGUGACAAACCGGAGGAAGGUGGGGAUGACGUCAAGUCAUCAUGGCCCUUACGACCAGGGCUACACACGUGCUACAAUGGCGCAUACAAAGAGAAGCGACCUCGCGAGAGCAAGCGGACCUCAUAAAGUGCGUCGUAGUCCGGAUCGGAGUCUGCAACUCGACUCCGUGAAGUCGGAAUCGCUAGUAAUCGUAGAUCAGAACGCUACGGUGAAUACGUUCCCGGGCCUUGUACACACCGCCCGUCACACCAUGGGAGUGGGUUGCAAAAGAAGUAGGUAGCUUAACCCUCUGAGGGCGCUUACCACUUUGUGAUUCAUGACUGGGGGAGAGCUAACAAGGUAACC